rnacentral:ribozyme from 12 species
GUUUGUCGUUACUUUUUCUUGUCUUUGUUAUGGUUCUUCUUUCUUUUGUCAUGGUUCAACAACUACGUUCACGUUUUUUUCUUCAUACUGCAAACAAUGAGAGGGAAUACAGAGAGAGAGAGAGAGGCUACUGUUGUGGUCUUUAGUUCUUUUCUUUUUAUUUUUGAAUAUAUUCACACAAAGAAGAAGAAGAAAAUAG